AAGGGGCGCCUCCGAGCUCCGAAUCGAAAACAAGUUGCGCGUACCCACGCUGCAGCGCGGACACGAUUCCUUGCCCACACCGUCCCCCACACACACACAAAGGCACACAUACACACAGACCCACACAAAGACGAACGAUGCAGCCGAGCCCUAGGGGUAAGACGACCGGCGUCUACGGGGCGGAACGGAUUCCGGGUAACUAUGUCAAAACCCUGACCGGCGUUGUGCGGGGCGAGGAACUUUUCUGCCGUCCUGACUUGGAGCGGCCAUGGCGAUCAGCAGACAAGCAGCGCAGCGCUGCCACGAUUGCGCUGAAGGAAAAGGAGAUUGAGGAGCUGAUGCGGCUGUGCUCCAACUUGCGAACGGAGCUUAGCAACACAAAAAGCGACUCUCUCUUCCUGGAGUACUCGCUGACGGAGAGAACCAAGUCGCAACUGGCGGAAAAGCAAAAUGAGGUGGAUGCGCUGCAGCGGCGCGUGGAGGUGCUUGAGAAGGAGAAGAAGGAGUUUGCGGCAGCUACCGAGAGCCAAAUUCGGCUUCUACGCUCGCAGGCGGAGAACGAGGCCAUUGGUUUCAAGAACGAAGCACGCAUCGCCACCGAGCGAUGUGCGGAGCUGGUGAAAGCCUUCCAGAAGCAGCUCGAGGACGUCAAGGCAGCUGGUGUGCGGGAGGUGGAUUUUGUGGAGGCCCGCUUCGCAGCAAAGGUCGAUGAGGUAACCACGGAGCUCAAGUCCGUACGCGAGUCGAAAAAAGCCUUGGAGGAGCACUACCGUGCGGUGGAGGCGCAGUCGUCGAGCACGGUGCAUCGCGUCGAGGCAGAUUACAAGGAGAGAUUGCGGUUUUUGGAACAGCGGAUUGAGGAGCAGCGGAUCGAAUACGAGGCCCAGCUCGCCAAGGAACGAAAUGAAAAGGAGGCGGCAGUUGGUGAGUGGAAGAGAACAACCGAAAAAGUGGUCGUGCUGAUCGCUGACAAGGAGGAACUGCUUCAGAAGCAGAAGCUGUGGAACAGCUAUAUUCUCUCCCACUUGGAUACCUUCUACCAUAGCUUCAUCGCCGCCGCCCCCGAGCUGGCGGUGGAUCCGGCUGGGGUGCAGCUCCAGCAGGUGCCAGGGCUCUACGCACCGCGCUGCGUUCUCGAAGAUCCAGAGUCCAAGGUGAACGUUGAGCGCAUAGCGUAUCGCAUUGCGCAGCUGAAGCUGUUGAAGGCGUUACAGCCACUAGGAGAAGCGGCGGUGCGGCGCGGUGCUAAGCCGCCGACUGCAGCUCAGCUGGACCAAGUCGUGGAAAGUCAAGAGCGUCUGUGGCGUGCGCUGAGCGAGCUCGAAGAUCAGCAAAGUGAGCUGGAGGCGACGGUCCGCAACUUCACCUCGCGCCUAUACUUCUUCAGCGACAAUCUGGAAGAGUCUCUUCGCCGCGGCCCCGGGCCCGUUCCACCGCCACUGCGCGAUGUUGUCUUUCUGUGUCUGUGCGUUCCGAACGGGCGGGUACUGUGGGCAGCGAACACGGAGCUGAUGCGGACGUCGGUGCAGCUGCUGUACAGCACCCUGCGGCUGAAGAUGGGCGAGUACGGCGCUUACGAAUGCUAUAGCGACGAUGUGUCGAUGCUACUCGCGUUUGCUGAUGCAACAGCGGCGUGCCGAUUCUGCACCGAGAGUCAGGAGUGGCUUAUGAGACUUCCCUGGCCAGCUGCCCUUCUGAAGCUGCCGGAGGCACAGGAGGAGCGGUCUGACGGUGGGCGGUUGGUGUAUCGAGGCCUGCGAGUCUCCAUGGCGCUCCACGCGGGUGAAGCCUACGUGGAACCGUCCGGCAUCCCGCUGAACGGGGUGUACCGUAACCACUACUACGGCAAGGCGGUCUCUCAACUGGUGCACCUUUGCUCUCUCACGCAAGGUGGUCAGAUCAUUGCGUCCAUCGCGGCAUGGAACCUGUGCGUGCGGCGGCAGCACGAACUCGGCGCUGUGGUGGCCAAGAGCCUUGGCACACUCCCCAUUGCCUCCUUCAACAGCCAGUCAGGUGUUCAGGAAAAGCAGAACAUUGAACUGCUGCAGAUUCUUCCGAUAGAGCUCGAAGACCGAACAUUCACGCCUCCGGGCAAGGCAGUCAUCCCCCCGGUGUCCUCCCUUACUGGGGUGAAGGAGUCCGUCCUAGCAGCCGAGGUGGCGGCAGUGGAGGCGCAACGCGAGCGGGUACACGAUGCACUCGCCAUUCUGCAGGAAGAGUGCAACAGCAUUCAGAGCAGCAUGGGCACUCUUGUCGCUCGUGCUCGAGCGGCUCUACCGCAUUUUCACCUCCUGCCGCCGUCUGAAAUGGUCACGCAGAUGAACGAUUUGUACAGCGUCAUGGAAAGGGUGGCCGUGCGGGCUGAGGAGCUCUAUACCGACUUGCAGGAUGUUGCACACGCACAGGAAGAGCUGGGUGCGCAGGCACAAGGCAUCAAAGACUACCUCCAGCAGCAGGAAAUAUCCGCCGCCCGCGAGGAUGACCUUCGCACGAAAACGGAGGCAGUACGGCGAAGCAUGAAUCACACGCUCCAGCUUGAGAAAGACCGGCACCGCGCUGAGACGGAGAGCCUUCAGCUUGCACUUCAAGAUCGAGAGCAGUUGAUCCGCAAACUGCAUCAGGAGUCCCUGUCGCGAUAGACCGUGCCAACCAGCAAGUCUUGUGCGCGGCGGAACCAGUGCGCGCAAGCCACCUCAACAGUUCUCUCUUCACCAGUACCGCAGAACGUCGUGCGAGCGAUUCUGAAAAGUUCGGGAUGCGGAGAAGGGCGACAAGAGCCGGAGCAUAGAUGCCAUAGAACGGCGCCGGGAAGCCUAAGGUGUAUGGGUGCCGCUCCAUCGAGGUGUAUUCCCCCUCUUCCCCAUCACCACUCCUCCCGCUCUCUCACGUGUUUUUGUUCACCUCCAGGGCUGCUGUGCGACACCCGCCCACGACAAGCACACACACGUGACGUGAAGCAGGUACGCUACCGGUACGUAUCAUACCCCCUCCCUUCCUCCUCCGUCCUCUGGCAGCGGCUUCCUCUCACCGCCGCGCGCUCUUCCUUCUCUCCCGUGCAGUCCGCAGUGAGAGCGCCAUGAAUGAAGCAUAGAAGCUCAAAAUGCAGAAGGGAUGUGCACGUGUGCGUGAGUGUGUCUGCGCGUGAGGCAGCAUGGAGGCAUAGAGUCUUGCAUUUGCAGGUUUUUUUCUCUGCAUGCGUGCCCCAGACGUCAAGGUCAGGCUUCUUUUUUAGAUGCACCACGAUGAAGGCCUACACGCAAUCAUGCACCUAUACGCGCAAGGAUAGAGAAACGGUGAAAACACGUGGAAGAGCUGUAGGAACGGGAAGCAUCUCUUGCUUGCUCCUUUCGCCGUGACUGUCCUGCUACCCUCUAGGGACAAUGUGGCUCACUGGUGCGCUGCGCUCUCUGCGCAUGCUCUUGUUCUACUCGCCAAAACGGCCCGCUGAUUUGUGAUUUCCUUUCCCGAACUCCUUUUCCGUUUUCGCUCUAACAUUCUCCUCUCCCACCGAAAAAAAAAGCACCACGAAAUGCGCGUGUGCGUGUACUCUGAGGAGCACUCAAACAUUGGUUUUGGCGUGUCCACCUUUUCUGCAGUCCCUUCACGGACACGCGCGGCGACGAGAUUUUCCCUCGUCGAGUAUCUUCAUCGUUGCUACUCAGUGCACCAAAAGGAGUGAAAGCAGCUCAGCACGCAACAUAAGCAAUACGGCAAAGGACGGCAGAAGAGUGCGUAUCCACUUCACCUCUGUAGUGCAGCGCUGGCGAAAGUGUGUUUCACUGCCAAUCCCUCGCUCGGUCGCCCGCCUCAUCCUCUCUCCUGCGUCUCUCCCCUCUAG
rnacentral:misc_RNA from 1 species